rnacentral:rRNA from 1 species
GACGAACGCUGGCGGCGUGCUUAACACAUGCAAGUCGAACGAAGUGGCGAACGGGUGAGUAACGCGUAAACAACCUGCCCUUCAGAGGGGGAUAACAGUUGGAAACGACUGCUAAUACCGCAUACUGAAGGAGGGGAUUGCGUCUGAUGAGCUAGUUGGAGGGUGAACGGCCGACCAAGGCGAUGAUCAGUAGCCGGUCUGGGGGGCUGAACUGCCACAGUGGGACUGAGACACGGCCCAGACUCCUACGGGAGGCAGCAGUGGGGAUUCUUCCGCAAUGGACGAAAGUCUGACGGAGCAACGCCGCGUGAGUGAGGACGGCCUUCGGGUUGUAAAGCUCUGUUAAUCGGGACGCGGUACCGGAAUAGAAAGCCACGGCUAACUACGUGCCAGCAGCCGCGGUAAUUC